UUCUCAUGGAACUUUCAAAGUGCUAGACUGUACAAAUUCCAGAGUCUUCCUUUAUUUUCUGAUUAAGAAAAAACACCAGAAGUAAAAUUAUACACAGGAGUACAUGAUUUUUUUACAUAAUUUAUUUUUAAAAGCAUGAUUUGAAAGCUCACCAAAAUGAAAUCAAUUUGACUUUGAUUUUAAAGUUUUGACUCAAGAUUUAAAACUUAGCUGUCUUUGGUUUUCUACUUAUUUAUAUCAACGUGCUUCUGAGCUGGUAGGGUCCCUGUGAAAACCCAUGAGUUUUGCUCAGAUUAAUGAAAUGCUUGCUAUUAGUGAUGGGCCCCUGUUCAGAUGUGUAUUGCUAAGGCAGCAUUUGGGAUGCAUCAGGCAACACUCUGGAAACCACCUGUCCUGCAACUCAGGUUAAAAAUAUGCCACAGAGCAGACGAAAGUGGGGCUAGCGUGAGAAUCUAGACUAGGCAGCCAAACCCCAUCGCAAGGAAAAAAAACUCACAGUUAAAGAGUAGCUUUUGCCUCACCUCCUAUCUUUUGCUUUUCCUCACAGUAUGAAUUUAUUUCAACAAAAAGAUGAAUACGUUGAAAUUUGCCUGCUGUUAGGGUCAAAUUCUGAAGACUUUCCUAAUGUGGCGGCAAACUAUACCAGGCUCUCUUAUUCACUAUUGCCUUUGAAGAAGUUGUCCUAGCUUUAGGCAAAUGUUGAAGGGGUAGUCAGGAUACAGAAAAUCCACCAGUGCUACUGAUCUGGAUGGAAAGCAGGUAUUUUUUAGGAUUUCACACCAGCAUAUCCAGGGUAUUUAUUCAUUCAUCAGUACUUAUUUGUUGCCUAACACGUGCCAGUUUCUGUUCUAGGUACCGAGACACGACUAUUGAAUGAAAACAAAGUACUGCUCUGGAAGUCUGUAUUCCAGUGGGGAGAGACAAGAAACAAAUAUGCCAGCUGGUGAUGAGUGCUAUGGAGAAAAACUCAACAGGGUAUGUAUAGGGAAUAGAAAAUGUGAGUGUGCAGGGGAAAGAGAUUGCUCCUUCACAGAAGUACCCCAAAAAAGGUGACAUGCAAGCAGAGACCUGGAGAUGAGGGAGUGGGCAAUAGAUACCCAGGAAGAGCAUUCCCAAGGCAGAGGGAUUGGCAAGUGAUGUGAGGGGAGCUUGGCACAUUCAGGGAAUGAUGAGAAGGCUCAUUUGGAUGAAUGAGUGAGGAAGGAAGCACAUGGAAGGUAGCACAAGGCCAGAAUACAGGAUACCUCAUGAACCAGUACAAAGAAUUUGACUCUUACUGAGCAAGAUGGGAAGCCAUUGGAGGGUUUUGAGCCAAAACUGUGCAGUAGUACCGUUUACAUUUUGAAAGGAUCACUGUGGCUGCUGCUGGAGAAUUGACUGUGGGGAAUGAAGUGGAGGCAAGGAACCAGUUAGGAGGCUGUUGCAAUAGUCCAAGUCAGAGAUAAUGGUGAAUUGGACCAGCGUUCCUGCAGUGGAAAGUGGCUGGAUUAUGGGUAAAUUCUGCAGACAGAGUUAAUAAGAUUUAUUGACUACCUCAACCUCUGGGUGUAGCAAGACUGGAGGGUGAAGACGUGCCAUUCAUCUUCACUACUUGCUGAUUCUGUACUUGUGAAUUUGCAAAAUUUGCAUUCUCAUAAAAUGUACAUGUAACCCCCAAACCAAUACUUGUGGUACUUUUAGUCAUUUGUUGACAUGCAGAGUGGUGAAAAUUUUGAGUACCCAGGUGCACAUGUUCCCAUCUGAGGUUGAGCAAGGCGACACUCUGAAUUCUUGUUUCAGCUCUCACACCGUGUAAGUGUUCCUGCAGUCUACCUUGUGCCGUUUAUUUUUGCAUUUUUCUUAGUGAUUUUACUAUUUCAAAUGGCACCCAGGUAUAGUGCUGAAGUGCUGUUUAAUGUUCCUAAGCACAAGAGGGCUGUGAUGUCAGCACUUUGGGAGGCUGAGGCAGGAGGAUCGCUUGAGUCCAGGAGCUUGAGACCGGCAUGGGAAACAUGGUGAGACCUUCCCUGCUCACCGUCUCUAUGAAAAAAACACUGUUUAGUGUUGUUCCUAAGCAUAAGAGGGCUGUGAUGUCAACACUUUGGGAGGUCAAGGCAGGAAGACCGUUUGAGCCUGCAGUGAAAUAUGAUCACGCCACUGCACUCCAGCCUGGGUGACAGAGCAAGACCCAGUCUCAAAAAACAAAACAAAACAAAAACAUUCACGUAAAGAGCUGUUGGCUGAGUUCUAUGUUAAUGAAUCCACAAUACACAUUUAAAAAGGUGUCUUUAAG
rnacentral:lncRNA from 10 species